ensembl:snRNA Gm24400 predicted gene, 24400
GUGCUUGGUUGGACAGUUUGGUACUUAAAAUCGGGACAGUACAGAAAAGAUUAGCACGGCUCCUGCUCACAGAUGACAUACAAAUUCAUGAUGCCUUCCAUGUUAAA